rnacentral:rRNA from 1 species
GUACACUCCUGCGGGAGGCAGCAGUGGGGAAUAUUGGACAAUGGGCGCAAGCCUGAUCCAGCCAUGCCGCGUGAGUGAUGAAGGCCCUAGGGUUGUAAAGCUCUUUCACCGGAGAAGAUAAUGACGGUAUCCGGAGAAGAAGCCCCGGCUAACUUCGUGCCAGCAGCCGCGGUAAUACGAAGGGGGCUAGCGUUGUUCGGAAUUACUGGGCGUAAAGCGCACGUAGGCGGAUCGAUCAGUCAGGGGUGAAAUCCCAGGGCUCAACCCUGGAACUGCCUUUGAUACUGUCGAUCUGGAGUAUGGAAGAGGUGAGUGGAAUUCCGAGUUUAGAGGUGAAAUUCGUAGAUAUUCGGAGGAACACCAGUGGCGAAGGCGGCUCACUGGUCCAUUACUGACGCUGAGGUGCGAAAGCGUGGGGAGCAAACAGGAUUAGAUACCCCUGUAGUCCCAUG